GGAACCAGGCUCUGAGGGGUGGCCAGUCCUCUUCUGGCUGUGCCGGGUGGAGAUUAUAACAGAACAAGGCCAAGAUGUUCAAACGUUCAUAAAUGACCAGCAUGGUCCAAUAAUAAUAAGGCAGAACAGUUGAAACUGGAGCAGCACCACAGUCAGGUGGACUGGGGACAUCACUGCACUUUGUAUCAAAAAGUAGACUGGCCCUCUUUGAGGUCUUGUAGAUCGAUGCAUUGCACUUUGUUUAUGAAGCCCUCUCACAUAAGCUCCCACCAUGCCUUACUACAUUGUUGACGUACAGGCAUGUGGCUGCCAGACCCGGGAACAGGCUAAUAUUGGAGAUCCUGUAAAAGAGACCUUGGUCUCAGUGUGUCUUCCCUGUUUAAAAAAAUAAUACUAAUAAAAACUAUUUAAAAAAAAAAACAUUAUACAGCGCAAAGCUGAGAGACUUUCAAUUGGGAUUUCAAUUACUUCUGCUGAGUGGGACAAUGCCUGAGACCCAUUGACAAAUUUCCCCUGGUAAUAACAUUGAGUGUGUCUGUGUCUCUCUCUCUCUCUCUCUCUCUCUCUCUCUCUCUCUCUCUCUCUCUCUCUCUCUCUCUCUCUCUCUCUCUCUCUCUCUCUCUCUCUCUCUCUCUCUCUCUCUCUCUCUCUCUCUCUCUCUCUCUCUCUCUCUCUCUCUCUCUCUCUCUCUCUACAGUGGAGAGGGUGAGGAAGGAGGCAGCAGAACAGGCUCGGAGAGCGGCAGAAGAGCAGAUUCAGAUUCAGCAACAGCUGAUGGAAAAGAUUGAGAAAGAACGAGAGAUCACCAAACAGGAAUAUAAACAAGUGUUGGAGGCCAGACUUAAGGAGCUGAAGGACCUAACGGAUAAAGGCUUUAAGGAAAUAGGAGAAUACAUGGAGAAAAACAAAAACGCCAAUCAAAGUAACGAUAAUCCAACUCCUCAAAAUAAUGUCUCCAAAAUGUUGGAUGGAGUUGGGACUAUUUGUUCCUUUGUUCCUGGCGUUGGCACUGCGAUUGGGGGCGGUCUUAUCGCCAGUGCCAAAGCUUUAGACUACGCUUCAGAACUCGUAAAGUAACUGUCAGAUUUUUAUAAAAUAUGACCUAUUAUGAAUAAAAAUACAAGGGAAAGAUUUUCCUUAAAUAAAAAAAAUGAAAAAGCUAAUUAGGUUUGUUUUCUGUGUUGGAAUGGUGUGGGUCUGUACAGAAACAGAAGGGUGUGAGUGUAUACCAGUCAUUGUAUAUAUUCAUGCAGGAUGGCGUCAAGUAGACCACUGAUUGGCCAGUUUUGCUAAUGAUGCAGGAUGGCAUCAUUCUCUAUGAGGAAAUAGGGCAAAUGUUUUUUAAACUGUAUGUUUGAGAUACAAAGUUUGACGUUGUUUAAAAAAUAUUUUAAAAACUCUCCCAUUUAUGAUUUGGCCACAAUUCCGAGUAUUGGAAGAGUCAACAACAGUAUUCCGGUAUGAGGUAUCAGAAUAUGUACGAUUUACACUGGAUAGUUACGUUAAAGGGGCAACAGCCCAAAUGCAUACUGUACAUUGUAAUGGAAACAAAUAAGCGGCACUUGGCCAGCUGAAGGCCAGGCACCUCAGGUUGUUCUUGGCUAGCUGAAGGCCAGGCACCUCAGGUUGUUCUUGGCCAGCUGAAGGCCAGGCACCUCAGGUUGUUCUUGGCUAGCUGAAGGCCAGGCACCUCAGGUUGUUCUUGGCCAGCUGAAGGCCAGGCACCUCAGGUUGUUCUUGGCCAGCUGAAGGCCAGGCACCUCAGGUUGUUCUUGGCUAGCUGAAGGCCAGCUGAAGGCCAGGCACCUCAGGCUGUUCUUGGCUAGCUGAAGGCCAGGCACCUCAUGCUGUUCUUGGCUAGCUGAAGGCCAGCUGAAGGCCAGGCACCUCAGGCUGUUCUUGGCUAGCUGAAGGCCAGGCACCUCAUGCUGUUCUUGACUAGCUGAAGGCCAGCUGAAGGCCAGGCACCUCAGGCUGUUCUUGGCUAGCUGAAGGCCAGGCACCUCAUGCUGUUCUUGACUAGCUGAAGGCCAGCUGAACAGCCAGGCACCUCAGGCUGUUCUUGGCUAGCUGAAGGCCAGGCACCUCAUGCUGUUCUUGACUAGCUGAAGGCCAGCUGAAGGCCAGGCACCUCAGGCUGUUCUUGGCUAGCUGAAGGCCAGGCACCUCAUGCUGUUCUUGACUAGCUGAAGGCCAGCUGAAGGCCAGGCACCUCAGGAUGUUCUUGGCUAGCUGAAGGCCAGCAGUAGGCCAGGCACCUCAGGAUGUUCUUGGCCAGUUGAAGGCCAGCUGAAGGCCAGGCACCUCAGGCUGUUCUUGGCCAGCUGAAGGCCAGCUGAAGGCCAGGCACCUCAGGUUGUUCUUGGCCAGCUGAAAGCCAGGCACCUCAGGAUGUUCUUGGCCAGCUGAAGGCCAGGCACCUCAGGCUGUUCUUGGCCAGCUGAAGGCCAGCUGAAGGCCAGGCACCUCAGGCUGUUCUUGGCCAGCUGAAGGCCAGGCACCUCAGGCUGUUCUUGGCUAGCUGAAGGCCAUCUGAAGGUCAUGCACCUCAGGAUGUUCUUGGCUAGCUGAAGGCCAGCUGAAGGCCAGGCACCUCAGGCUGUUCUUGGCUAGCUGAAGGCCAGGCACCUCAGGAUGUUCUUCGCCAGCUGAAGGCCAGGCACCUCAGGAUGUUCUUGGCUAGCUGAAGGCCAGCAGUAGGCCAGGCACCUCAGGAUGUUCUUGGCCAGCUGAAGGCCAGCUGAAGGCCAGGCACCUCAGGCUGUUCUUGGCCAGCUGAAGGCCAGCUGAAGGCCAGGCACCUCAGGCUGUUCUUGGCCAGCUGAAAGCCAGGCACCUCAGGAUGUUCUUGGCCAGCUGAAGGCCAGGCACUUCAGGAUGUUCUUGGCUAGCUGAAGGCCAGCAGUAGGCCAGGCACCUCAGGCUGUUCUUGGCCAGCUGAAGGCCAGCUGAAGGCCAGGCACCUCAGGCUGUUCUUGGCCAGCUGAAGGCCAGCUGAAGGCCAGGCACCUCAGGCUGUUCUUGGCCAGCUGAAGGCCAGGCACCUCAGGCUGUUCUUGGCUAGCUGAAGGCCAUCUGAAGGCCAUGCACCUCAUGCUGUUCUUGGCUAGCUGAAGGCCAGGCACCUCAGGCUGUUCUUGGCUAGCUGAAGGCCAGCUGAAGGCCAUGCACCUCAUGCUGUUCUUGGCUAGCUGAAGGCCAGGCACCUCAGGCUGUUCUUGGCUAGCUGAAGGCCAUCUGAAGGCCAGGCACCUCAGGAUGUUCUUGGCUAGCUGAAGGCCAGCUGAAGGACAGGCACCUCAGGCUGUUCUUGGCUAGCUGAAGGCCAGGCACCUCAGGCUGUUCUUGGCUAGCUGAAGGCCAGGCACCUCAUGCUGUUCUUGACUAGCUGAAGGCCAGCUGAAGGCCAGGCACCUCAGGCUGUUCUUGGCUAGCUGAAGGCCAGGCACCUCAUGCUGUUCUUGACUAGCUGAAGGCCAGCUGAAGGCCAGGCACCUCAGGCUGUUCUUGGCUAGCUGAAGGUCAGCUGAAGGCCAGGCACCUCAGGGUGUUCUUGGCUAGCUGAAGGCCAGCUGAAGGCUAGACACCAAAAGACUGAAAUUACAUUUUUGCAUCUACCUAUCAAUAAUGAGAUAUGCUGAUACGUUGAUCCAUAGUAUUAUUAAAAAGUAACAUAAAUUCAACUGGUAAAAGCUGAUUGUUAUACGAUUAAGGGGGAAAACAUUACCUUAUGAGGGUGGUGCCUGGCCUUAAAGCCAGUCUAAUAAUUCUGUUUGAUUUUCCUUUAUUCUACUAGCGUGUCCUUUUCUUUUAGAUUUUUACUGUAAAGUGUAUUGCAAUUUUAAAUAAAGAUUGAUUUGAUUUGAUAAACAAACUAUUUAUAAUAAUGUUAGCCACAAUGUGUUGAUUAUAUCUAACCUAGUAAUGAUGAGUCUAUAAUUAACUGUGGAAAAAGAUGUUGACAAAGGUUUGCCAAAAUGUCUAAUGACUUCUAAUCGCUUACAUUACUUGAUUUACUUUAUGACAAGUAAUGUAACCUUAUUGUAAAGAGUUACCAAAUAUGAUAUCCUUUCAACAUGUAAAAUACGACACAGUAAAGAUGUAUCUUUAGAAAACGUUUGAUUUAAUAAUGAACGUUGUAACUACAGUGAAAAGCAGUGAUUAGGGGGCAGCACUGGAUAGCUGUGCCCAUCUGAAUAAUACAGUUUCAAAUGUAAACAAAAUAAAAAUCUGUUGAGAAAUGUAUUUCCUGUUUCUUAAGGUAUACAGGUGUACAACAGACAAGGUGUACAAUGCAGAAAUACAGUCAUUUGUAUUAGAACACAACAUGUUAAAAUGUAUCUAUUAAUGCAUUCUAGAACUGAGUUUUGUGACAUUAUUGUCAAUAUCCACGAUCACCUCUUCAAAUCCAGGACGAACAAAUGAUUGUUAAUGUGAACACAGGGGUACUUAGGAUCAUCACAUGUUGUUGAAUUAGUAAGAGCCACAAUACCCUUCAUAAGCCUGCAGUACGACACUGCACGGAGCCUACACACACACACACACACACACACACACACACACACACACACACACACACACACACACACACACAAUCCCUCUCUGUCUCUCUCUAACAACUAUGAACGGAUGAAGGUUUAGCUUUAUCAGAAACAUGUCCUCUAUCCAGGGCAUAAUGAGAAGUGUAUUUAUGCAGGAAUAGAUACCAUUAUGUCAGUACACUAUAAUCAAUGUACUUCCUAGGAAUAGAUACCAUUAUGUUAGUACACUAUAAUCAAUGUACUUCCUAGGAAUAGAUACCAUUAUGUUAGUACACUAUAAUCAAUGUACUUCCUAGGAAUAGAUACCAUUAUGUUAGUACACUAUAAUCAAUGUACUUCCUGGGAAUAGAUACCAUUAUGUUAAGUACACUAUAAUCAAUGUACUUCCUAGUCCUUUAUUCCUGCUUGUCUAAAGACAUGUUGGCACCAUAUCCGUGCAACACCUCUUUAAUCCAGGGCAGAAAGAAAGGGAUUUUCAUGAACACAUGAGGAUAUCGGGAAUCAUCACAUCUCUCAGGAUAAUUAAAAGCAACGAUACCCUGUGCCUUGUUGUUACAAAUAAGAGGUCCCCCUGAAUCUCCCUG